UACGGGGGGGCAAGCGUUGUUCGGAAUUACUGGGCGUAAAGGGCGCGUAGGCGGUUGGAUAAGUCAGCUGUGAAAACCACGGGCUUAACUCGUGGCCUGCAGUUGAUACUAUCUGUCUUGAAUAUGGUGGAGGUAAGCGGAAUAUGAUCAUGUAGCGGUGAAAUGCUUAGAGAUGAACAUAGAACACCCAUUGCGAAGCAGCUUACUACGCCUAUAUUGACGUGGAGGCAACGAAAGCGUGGGGAUCAAACAGGA
rnacentral:rRNA from 1 species